UACGUAGGGUGCGAGUGUUGUCCGGAAUUACUGGGCGUAAAGCGUGCGCAGGCGGUGAUGUAAGACAGAUGUGAAAUCCCCGGGCUCAACCUGGGAACUGCAUUUGUGACUGCAUCGCUGGAGUGCGGCAGAGGGGGAUGGAAUUCCGCGUGUAGCAGUGAAAUGCGUAGAUAUGCGGAGGAACACCGAUGGCGAAGGCAAUCCCCUGGGCCUGCACUGACGCUCAUGCACGAAAGCGUGGGGAGCAAACAGG
rnacentral:rRNA from 1 species